rnacentral:tRNA from 1 species
AGGAUUAUAGUUUAAUAAAAACAAUUAAUUUGCAUUUAAAAAUCAUUGAUUUUUCAAUUAAUCUUA